GUUCAGAGGUGUGCUCUCCCGAUCUCUCGGAAUGCUUCAGUGAACACGUGUCAGCAGUUCAACUUUAUAACAAUUAUAAAUAAACCUGUUACAUUUUUCUGGACAAUGCCAGCAUUUGGAUUUUUUUUUUUUUAAACAAACCGCGAGAUCGCAAGAGCGUCGGUGGGAAAAGGUCU